ensembl:lncRNA
GGAGGAGAUGAAAUAGAGGAGGAGGGAACGGGGAGAGCAGGCGGAGGAGUGCAGCCGUGAACAGGAGGAGGAGACGGAUAAUCGUCAGGAAGACCCCGGGCUAUUACCCCUGAUUAAAGGACACGGAUGCAGUUUGUAUCACUGUUUGGUUAAGGCUGUUAUUUAAAAAGCAUAAAAGAGUGCCCGAUUUAUUUAGUCUGAUCCUGGGUUUGAGGACAGAUGGAUGGACAGGUAGAGGCAGCGGAGCCUCAAAAACAAUAUUUCACUGAAGGUAGAACAGUGUGACCAGUGCUUCUCACAUGUCACGCACACUCCCGCGCACACAAUCUUCUCACAUGUCAGGUGAAAGGUUGUAACCCUGCACUAACAGCUCUGUUUCCUUUGCCAUCGGAUACGAGAGCUUCACCCGGUAUCCCUAAAUGGUUGAGAAAAGGAAGCGCGGUGCAGUGAAUGACCAUCAUUGAAAUGACGGCGAGGUCAAGGACUAACUGCAUGUGUGCUCGUGUUUGCAUGUGUGUCUAUGUUGACACUGAGGAAAUGGAGAUAUGAAUGGCUACGUUCAGGAAUGCCAAACAGUGACUUUAGAGGUGGUUCUACAGCGGUAUUGGUGAUGAUGACUGAUAAUCAUGUCAUUUGAAAUAAUUGGGUAAUUGGGGUAAUGGGUUUUCACUGUGGGCCUGUGAGCGUAUCAUCGUAAACGUAAACUGCCGUAUGAGGCCAUCUACACAUUGCUGUCCAGAGGUAUAAUAGGGUGCUACAGGUAAUUGUCUGCUGGGUGCAUUUUUAUUUUGGGUUUGGAUUACGAGACAUACAAAAUAGAGACCGUUGCUACACCAGGAUUUCAGAAAAAAAAGCAAAGAGAAUGAUAAAUGUAAAAAAAAAAGGAGAUGGAGAGGUUCUGUCAAGUAGUUAAUGGUGGCUCAGGGUUUUUCGAUAGACAAUAUUCGUAAAAAUGGAGCGCAUUACAAUAGCAGACUGACAUUAAAAUCCUGGUGCCAUUUUAGAUUUAAUGACAUGCUGGGUGGUGUCCAACUACAUUUAAUGUGCUCAUCUGCAUAAUAGCGCUGCAGGAUUGGCAGGGGGAGUAAUACCUCUGUGUGAUCAAUCUCUUCUUUCUUUAUCUCUCUCGCAGACUCUUUCAUUUACACACAUACUCACACAAUCGCACACACGAACAAAUGAUCAUGAGCAUAUCUUUUGCAUUAACUUAGCCUGUGAAAAGGGGUACAAAAGGACAUUUGUGUAAUUAGAAUCAAGAUCAAGCCAAAAUACAAGUUCUUUAAAAAAAAUUCUCAUUAUAUAGUUUGCCUUUUAUAUUACACAUUCGAAUUGUAGAAAUUUCACUUUAACAUGUUCUCUUCACACUAAUACAAACAAAAUCAUUUAUUUCCUCUUGCUGAGAAGUGCAAAUUUGCUUCAAUGAUUACAGCAAUAACAGUAAUAAAAUGUAUUAUAUUAAUGAGGCGAAAAGCACAGUGGAAUGAAGUUGCAGUAGUCUUUAAAAUUGUCUGGCGCUCCCGGGAAGGAUAUCAGACACCAUCGACAGAAAUAGUUCAGCCUUGAAUCCAGCGAGCGGACCUGAACAGCUGGAAGGACGGAGGCUCAUGAAUCUUGUGAAAUGACACUUUCCACUGAGAACGUUAUGUCAUUUAUCAAGUUGAUUGUGACUUUUAUUUCAACUCUCUCUUCAUUUCUCUUUAGGUAACACACACACACACACACACACACACACACAUAUCUGGCAUGCUGAAGGAGCCAUAAAAUGGCAGUGAGUGCGGCCAUCCGUCACUUGCACAAGGCUGCUGAACAUCUUCUGCCCAAAUGAUAGCUGUGCCCUUCAUGCUUGCCAAAAAAUGAUGCCUCGGAACCUUUCACCAUGCAAGCACUUCUAAUGCAAUCAAGUUUUCUUUCAAUAGUUGUGCAUGUGAGUUCAGUGUUGCCAUACGGGUUAAUUAAGGUAUGUUCCCGCCAUGAAGCAACAUGACCACCAACAUGCACGUCGAUUUGGGAAAGACAUCAAAGACCAGGCCAUAUGGGUGAGGCUGUCAACACUACAGGGACGAAGAAGGGAGGAAGGAAGCAGAAAAGACAUUAGAAAAAAUACCGCCCAUUUCACAAGCUAACAUUUUUUUUAAAAGCAUGUUAGACCUCCAUAUGUCUGUUGACGAUUAAGGAAAGCAAUCAGCCAGCAAAGAAUGUAGGAUGAGCUCAUUAAGAAGUCGGGGGCUUAUCACACUCAAAGAAACGCAGGCAGCACUGAAUCAUCCAUCAUACAAACCCGUUUUAAAGCACAAGGAGGACCCGCUGUGCAUCAGGUCUUUGAAUGAUGAAGCAGUGUACGGGGUCGGAUGCUAGUUUCUUUGCAAAUGAAACUAGCAUUGACUGUUUCUCGCUUCAUUACUCCUGAAAAAGAUUUUUCUUUCAACCGGAGCAUGGGCCUUUCCAUUUAUUAUUUCAACUGUAACCGAUUAAACGGAUGAUACAAGAAAUCUGUCCUUGCACUUCAAUUCCAUGCUGCAGUUGCAUGCUGUGGCGUCACCACCAAAUGUUGUUAACAAUCAUGAACAGACAUGUGACACGCCAGUCUAUAAUUAUAUAUGUAUACUUGUCUGGUGAUGAAGUUACUCGUUGCAUGCAAUGGGGUUAGUAUUGCCACUAAAAUCCAGUUGCUGAGUUGACUUUAAAACCAGAUUCAUGUUAUUGUCCAGCCUGCGCCGCAUUUUAUUGCUUUUCCAGAAAUGUUGUCAUCAUUUUGUUUUUGUCGGGAAUUUAGCGAUGCCAGGCAGAGUCCUUCAAUAUAGUUUGUUUUCACCGUCUGCUUGUCUGUGUUUUCUGUUACUCGUCCCUGGUUUCAGGCUCCCCCCCCUUCCUGUGUGAUUGUAAGCUCCUCCCUGAUUGUUUCCCCCUGUGACUCGUUGCCCACCCUGUGUAUUUAGUCUGUGUCAAUCCCAGUUCUGUUUCCAGCGAGUUUAACAGCAAUUCCUGGUGGGUUCCCCCCCGUGUGUCCGUCUGUGUUAGUUUCCGUGUACCUGUGAGUUUUGCCGGUUGAUUUGGAUACCGUUGCCUGUGUGACUGACUACACGUGUACCGAAACCCUCUUCAGUAAACUAUCUAUUUUUCAGCCUGACUGAGUCUGCUUUUGAGUUCUGCCCCUGUGGUUGCCAAUCGCUCACAGGCGACGCACUUGGGAACUUAACUCCCAAGUUGAAACAGUUCGGUUUGGACUGGAUCCCCCUGUCAAACAGGCAAAUUGUGUUCAUUAUUGCAAAACAGCAAUAGUUUGGAAA